rnacentral:rRNA from 1 species
CAAUGGGCGAAAGCCUGACCCAGCGACGCCGCGUGGUGGAUGAAGGCCUUGGGUCGUAAACUCCUGUUCUGGGGGAAGAAAACGGGAUGCGUGAAGAAUUCAUCCCGCUGACGGUACCCCAGGAGAAAGCUCCGGCUAAUUACGUGCCAGCAGCCGCGGUAAUACGUAAGGAGCAAGCGUUGUCCGGAUUUACUGGGCGUAAAGAGCUCGUAGGCGGCCGAUUAGGUCUCGGGUAAAAUCCCCCGGCUCAACCGGGGAGAGUCGCAGGAAACCGACGGGGUUGAGAGCAGAGGAGGAAAGGGGAAUACCCGGUGUGGCGGUGAAAUGCGUAGAGAUCGGGAGGAACACCAGUGGUGAGGACGGCUUUCUGGUCUGUGACUGACGCUGAGGAGCGAAAGCCAGGGGAGCGAA